CAGUUGCGAUCGGUAUAAUAACACCGCAGUUAUAAGUGGUGUUGUCACUUCCUGAAUCAUUUAACUUUUAAUAUCAUCAGGGGUGCGAUGCAGUUAUGACUAAUGGCUAGCGGGUGUGAUAAAUUGCAUGUUACAAAUCAAAAGAAAACAACAUAGCAUGUGGAAUGCGUCAGACUUUUUCUUUAUCGACCCCGUAAAUAAAAAUGCAGGGAAAUGUGUUUCCCCCCUCAUUUCCAUUGUUUUAUCGAGAACGCAAAACUUGCGUAAUGCAAUUAAAAUACUUGUAAGCAAAACUGAGCUCUGCCCUUGACACAGUCGACUGACGAUCAGCCAUUCACAAUAAAACUGGACGGUGGGUGGAAAACCGAGGGGUAUGGAAAAAAACCGAGAGAAGCUCAUAAUUGCCGCUCAACUGCAAAACAAUUUCAAUUCAUUCAAGCCCAGCUCGUAAACCUAAUUACUGAUCAUGACCAUCUACGGUGGAGAAAAGAAGCAACUGAGAUGCAAAGUGCGAAUUAUAGGCGAAAAUUAAACCCUCAAUUAUAAGUUAGUGUCAAUGGGAAAAUAGUCGAGAGUGUCGCGUAUAAUUUGUCAGAGAGUGG